rnacentral:rRNA from 1 species
UACGGGCGGCUGCAGUGGGGAAUAUUGCGCAAUGGGGGAAACCCUGACGCAGCGACGCCGCGUGUAGGAAGAAGGCCUUCGGGUCGUAAACUACUGUCAAGAGGGAAGAAACUGUUAAGGUUUAAUACGCCUUUUCACUGACGGUACCUCUAGAGGAAGCACCGGCUAACUCCGUGCCAGCAGCCGCGGUAAUACGGAGGGUGCGAGCGUUAAUCGGAAGCACUGGGCGUAAAGCGUGCGUAGGCGGCGUGGCAAGUCAGACGUGAAAGCCCUCGGCUCAACCGAGGAAUUGCGUUUGAAACUGCCAUGCUGGAGUCUCGGAGAGGUUGGCGGAAUUCCAGGUGUAGGAGUGAAAUCCGUAGAUAUCUGGAGGAACACCGGUGGCGAAGGCGGCCAACUGGACGAGUACUGACGCUGAGGUACGAAAGCGUGGGGAGCAAACAGGAUUAGAUACCCCUGUAGUC